UCGUAGGUGAACUGCGGAAGGAUCAUUA
rnacentral:rRNA from 1 species